GCAGUCGUGGCCUACUGGUUAGGGCUUUGGGCUUGGAACCAGAGGUUGCCGGUUCGAUCCCCGACCAGUGGCA
rnacentral:tRNA from 1 species